AGAGUUUGAUCAUGGCUCAGAUUGAACGUUGGCGGCAGGUUUCAUACAUGCAAGUCGAACGAGUAAUCGCCCUUCGGGGUGUGCGCUAGUGGCGGACGGGUGAGUAACGCGUAGGAAUCUACCUAGUAGUGGGGAAUAACGUCAGGAGACUGAUGCUAAUACCGCAUACGACCUAAGGGUGAAAGCGGGGGAUCUUUUGACCUCGCGCCAUUAGAGGAGCCUGCGUUAGAUUAGCUUGUUGGUGAGGUAAUGGCUCACCAAGGCGACGAUCUAUAGCUGGUCUGAGAGGACGAUCAGCCACACUGGAACUGAGACACAGUCCAGACUUCUAAGGAAGGCAGCAGUAGAGAAUAUUGCACAAUAGGGGAAACCCAGAUGCAGGCAUGCCGCGUGUGUGAUUGACGGCCUUAGGGUUGUAAAGCACUUUCGAUGGUGAAGAGAGCUGGCGCGCUAAUACCGCGAUCCAGUUAGACGUUAACCAUUAAAGAAGCACCGGCUAACUUCGUGCCAGCAGCCGCGGUAAUACGGAGGGUGCAAACGUUAAUCGGAAUUACUGGGCGUAAAGCGCACGUAGGUGGAUUGUCAAGUGGGAUGUGAAAGCCCUAGGCUUAACCUGGGAAUUGCAUUCCAAACUGACUAUCUAGAGUGUAGUAGAGGAAAGUGGAAUUUGCUGUGUAGCGGUGAAAUGCGUAGAUAUGGCAAGGAACAUCAGUGGCGAAGGCGGCUUUCUGGACUAACACUGACACUGAGGUGCGAAAGCGUGGGUAGCGAACAGGAUUAGAUACCCUGGUAGUCCACGCCGUAAACGAUGAGAACUAGCCGUAGGGACCUUCGGGUUUUUGUGGCGCAGCUAACGCGAUAAGUUCUCCGCCUGGGGACUACGACCGCAAGGUUAAAACUCAAAUGAAUUGACGGGAGCCCGCACAAGC
rnacentral:rRNA from 1 species